CCUAACACAUGCAAGUCGAACGGUAACAGGAAGAAGCUUCGCUUCUUUGCUGACGAGUGGCGGAUGGGUGAGUAAUGUCUGGGAAACUGCCUGAUGGAGGGGGAUAACUACUGGAAACGGUAGCUAAUACCGCAUAACGUCGCAAGACCAAAGAGGGGGACCUUCGGGCCUCUUGCCAUCGGAUGUGCCCAGAUGGGAUUAGCUAGUAGGUGGGGUAACGGCUCACCUAGGCGACGAUCCCUAGCUGGUCUGAGAGGAUGACCAGCCACACUGGAACUGAGACACGGUCCAGACUCCUACGGGAGGCAGCAGUGGGGAAUAUUGCACAAUGGG
rnacentral:rRNA from 1 species